CUGAUUUUUUCAGUAAUCUCAAACCGAACCUAAGUUAAAAUAUAUAUAGUUUUAGAUAUUAUACACCGUUGGAUUGGUUGAUAAUUAGCCUCAACCGUUCAUUCAAAAUGAAACCUAAUCUCACCUUCACCUUCACUAUGACCUCUCAGCCAAACUCUUUGACCUCACCUCACCUUCACUUCCUUACCUCCCUAUUCCUGUACUCCUUUCAGUUCAAACCAAUAAAUCUCUCUCUCUCGACCUCCACUCUUUCACUCUCUCUCCCUUACCUUCACACUACUUCCAGACCAGUCUUCCAUUUUCUUUUUGCAUUUAACAACUUCCUCUGCAUUCGAUAAUCAAUACAGCCACCUCUGCUUCCUUUUACUUCUCUCUUCAUUAAGGUACAAUUUGUGUUUCCAACAACAUUGCUAGCAAGGCAAGUUUAAAUAAAUUCAUUUUUUUUAUCAGUUCACAGUAUUAGUUUUUGGAAUUUUUAGCCACGAAGCCUACAUAAAACAUGGUGGAUUAGAUUUGUUUUAUUAGCAAGAUACCAUCCAAUCCAUAUUUGAAUUCUAUGUUUCUUACAGUACCCUCUCUUUCUUUAUAGGCAUGAGAGAAUUUAGGCCAAUGAGUUUGGUUUCUUGCCUUGGAGAUUCUGGGGGAGGAUAGUUUUCUUUAUUUUUCGAUGAAUGUUGUAAUAGCAUAAUGUUUUGCCGAGACUUUCUCUGAAUUCGUGUGUGUAUUUGCUACUUUAGCUACACUAUUUAGCUGUAAACGAAGUUUAUAUGUUGUUACGAUUGUUUUGACACAUGAGCCCUAAAUUAUUUUGGGAUUCUCAAAAAUUGGAUUUGAGAUUGGUCUUGAAAUUGGGAGUCCCGAAAACUUUGGUUUGGGAAUUGGAAUAAGAGUUUCGGUUCAGUAUCCCAUACCGAACCAACCCUAAAAAUGAUAAUAGCUUGGAAAACUUUUCUCUCCAUGAGAGAGCUUUCCUCUCAAACUGAGAGUUAUUCUCAAUUCCUGUGUAAGGCGUUCAAACCAAAGAAAAUCCUGUGGCGCUGGCCCUAGCUUCGGUUAGGGUCGGUUGUUGUUUCCUUCUUGCGUUCUUUCUCUUUUGUUUUCCUUGAUUCCACUGCUUUUUCUUCCAAAUCUCUACUUCGAUCUAUUCUAUUGCUUUAUCCUCGUGGGUAUUACUCUUCCUGGCUCUUCCUUGCUCCAAUCUUUGGCCACACAUCCUACUGAGAUAGUGCGUAGAGUUCCAGUGUAUCCACCAGCUUAGGUGUUUCCAACACCACCACUUUCUCUUUGUUAUCUGUCGGUUUCGUUAGUGUCGUUCAUGAUUUUCACGAGCUUCAAACUGAUAGUUCGCUUCUCUUGCUUAGUUGCCAGCUAUCUCUAGUUUAUGAUUGUGCUCAGGUAGCAAUUUGGGUUUGGAUGUGGCGUCUGUUAAAGCAGUGCUCGGCGGCAGAGAUGGAAUCGGAUGGAUUGGCUGGCACUGGAAGGGUGGAGAAAGCUAUGGAAAGGUGUGGAAGCUUUUGCUUUGGAAGACUUGAUGUUAAGUUUGGGCCUAACUGUUUUUGGGCUCAUUUUUUGUUUUCUAGUGUUUUAGGCCUACUUUUGUUUGUUGAUAUGUAGUCUUUGGACCUUUAUGUGCUGUAUGUUUGUUGUUGGUGUUUAAUAAAAUAUCCUUUUACAAUA